ensembl:lncRNA
GCAGAGGGCUUUGGCUUCCCCUCUCUCCCAUCGCCGUGGCGACGGGCAGCAGCCGAACAGAACAGGAAGGCCAGCGGACUCUCCUUCAAGGUGGGACCGGGCGCCUGUGGGCCGCACUGGGCGGCUGAGAGAUCUGCUGCUCAGCAGCCAGCCCGAUGACGGAGGUGCAGCCUUAUGAAGCUCUGGAGCGUGGCGGCGCCGACCUCCCAUAAUGCAACAGGUCCUGACAGCUGAUCAGUGCGUUAGGCUAGCAGGGAGCUAGCUGCUACGGGGCGGGGCAGUGGGCGGGGCCAACCCCUCACUGCUCAGCCACAUGCUCCUUUAUUGGAUAUAACAAUGACUCUAAAGUACAACAGUACCGAUUAAGAACUUGUGUGGGUCUCCCCAGGACCCGUGUGUUUGGGCCGGAGGGAUUCUGUCUCUCAGAACGAUGGCAGCUCUUAAUCCCGUUCUGUAUGGAGCUCUGACCAGGCUUCAUGGGAUGAGCGUGUGCGUGUUUGCAUACUGGAUACGUGCAUGUGUUAUGGGGUAUUCGUGUAUAUGUAUUUGUGUGUGUGUGUCGAGUCAAUCUGUGGUUUUAAUUUUACUUUGGGGUUUAAGAAAAUACACUGGAAAAAAGAAGAAAUUAACGGACAAAAAAUAGUGAUUUAAUUUUAAAUUGGGUGCGGAAGGACUCACCAGCUCAACUAAUGGUUGACGCAAAAAUAAGCUACGUAAUACACGCGACGCAGACACGAGCAGCAGGUGUUUUAAUUGAGCUUCAAGGAGGCACGAGAGAGAACAAGAGGACUGUUAGAAAACCACAGCAAACGCGUGUAAUAAAAACUCUUGUAUUGUACAUACUGAACAUCUUUGAAAUCUGGAGAGGCAGCCGGUAAGAGAAUGUAGCCUACUUCCGGUCUUUUCCAUCAAAGUCUGCCGCUGCUCCGGUAACGUUGUUUGUGCUAUUAAUAGCUUCUAACCGCAGCAUUCGUUGCAAGUGGGGAUGCUAAUGCUGUCUGCCUAUACCGUGAACUGUAAACUAAGUUGUCACUUGUUAGAAAUAAGGUGAUGGUGAGGCUGCAGUAGCCGUUUUGUAUAAGUGAUGGUUUAUGCAUUUAAUACUUUAUUAUUGAAUGUUCCACAAUUGAAAAAUGUAAUUUCUGCGUUGUUUGUGUACUUUUUAAGUUUAAAAUUCCAGUAUAUUUUGUACAAGAAUUUAUAUCUGAGAAAGUCAAUUAUUUUGCACAUGUUGGUGUCGGUUUAUUGUUGUGUGGAUUGCUGAUAUUCAUGUGUGUUUUCUAUGUUUCUGUUUAUCUUUAAAGGUUUUUUACCUAAAGGUUAAUGGCAAGAGAAAAUAGCGAGCUACUGUUUAACUGAAAAUAAAAAGGAAAGAAAAGUGAAAACGUAGCUACUGCCUGGGACUCAAGUCAUUACAUUUUGAGUAGAAUCCAGUUUUCCCAAAACCUCCAAUAGAUGUCAGUUCCUUUUUCAAGUUGGGGAAAAAGU